rnacentral:tRNA from 1 species
UCUCCGAUAUCUCAGUGGUAGAGAAUCUGCCUACAAUGCAGGAGACGCAGGAGACCUGGGUUCGAUCCCUGGGUCCAGAA